CUCUGAAAUUGCGCUAAAUGUCAUAAGCUCUGGUCAUCUCAUAAACGUGUCAAUGCGUGGCUUCACUUCUUCUUCGAAUCAUUUGUAAAUUAUCCCCAAAACACUAAAUCUUACCAUAGCUGAGAAACAACGAAGAGAUCGAAGAAAGCUAAGAUGGUGCUGAUGACGCUAAUGGAUCUGAUCGUCGCCGGAAUCUCUCUGAUGGUCGGAUUAGGGUUCUUCGCUCUCAUCGCUUCCAUCCUCUGCUCCGUCGCCUUCUUCCACCAUGCCAAAGCAGCUUCUUCUUGACCAUCAAAAUCAAAACCAAAACAGAGAAUUGAACAUGGAAGGAAGACGAAGAAGUGCUUCUCAUUACUCUCUUAGCUUGUACAAGAAAGUGUAGUUAAAGAGACAUUGUAAUCUGUGCAUUUACGAAAUUAAAAUUUAUAAAGUUUCAAACUUUUUAUUUCUUGUUUCUCUGUUUGCGUAUAAAAACCAUUCCUUUGAUCCCAUCCGGGUCAGAGACGAACCCAAGCGGGCGAUAAAACCCGAGAACUCGAGGCUCUGAAUACAGAGCAAUGUUACAAAUCCCUUUCACCUGUAAAUCCUCAAUCAACCGCUCCAUCACCGCCUUCCCAAGUCCACAGCUUUGAAACGAUGGAUCAACCACAACAUCCCAUAUGAUCGCAUUGAAAACUCCGUCACCGGUUGCUCUCGCAAACGCUACAGGCCUCCGCGUUUUCUCGUACUCUACCCAAAGCAACGCGUCUGUGUGCUGCAACGCCACCUCGAUUUUCGCCGUGUCACGACGAGGGAAUCCCACGGCUGCAAAGACUGAAUUCAGCUGGUCUAAGUUAAGUCCUUCUGUUGUUCGACGGAGAAGAAAGCCUCUGGAUUCGAGAUCUUCGUCGCUGAUUGAGUAACUUGGUGGCUUUCGUUGCAUUGCAGCUGGAAACGUCGCUUGUGAUGAUGAUUGUGUGACUGCGUUUUGUGGGUUUAAUGUGGACCUUAACCGGAGAGAAGCUGGAGGAGUGGAGAUUGUGCCUCCGAGAAACAUGGUAUACACUAUUUUUUGUUCAAGUGUUGAAUUUUAGGAGCUCGAUUACAUGGAAUCAGACAAAAGGAUGGUUUUUUAGUUUCCCUGAAUUUGGAUAAA